rnacentral:lncRNA from 1 species
ACACUUCGGUAUCGAGGCUCGUAAAAUGAGGCGUAACAAUUACCGUUUUAUCUCUGGUUCUUCCCUAUAAAUAUAGUUUUUUUUUUCAAAUAAAGACAUCCACUCAUCCAUAGUAACUUUUUACGGUCCACCGAGGAAGGUUGAUUGGGGUUAAGGGUUCCCCAACCACAUAUAUAAAUAAAAAUCUAGAAUACGGGAAAGAAGGGGAACAUAACAUAAACCUUACUUCCAAAAAAGAAACAAUGCAAAAGUGAAUACAAAAGAAGUCAAGGCAAUAAAUAGAACAGUACUACUUCCCUGUAAAAUUAGACUGUCCAUGUUUGUUGAUCUGCACUAGUGUCCUUAUCUUUCGUGAUAGAUAGAUGGUCUAUACUUCUGAUAGUGUCGGUGAUCCCAACCCUCUGAAGCAAGCGAGUCUACAGUCUGGUCCCCCUCUUUGUAGAUGUGGGAAACUAUUUCUCUGUCAAAGGAAAUGAGGUCUCUAAUCUGCCUAAGAGUGCCCUGAAUCUUCCAUGGUCCUCCACCGCUGGUGAUGCAGUGAAUAGCCACGGUCGAAUCUGCCUUAUCCCAAAUAGCUAAUAACCCAAUUCCUUUAGCCAAUAGAAUCCCACCCAGUAUAGUUCUGAGCUUGACUUCCAAAUCAAACAUUCAUACGAUGCUGAGAGUGUCCUGAUGCAAUGUCCUGUGUGGUCUUUAAUGAUGGCCCCACCACUUGCAAAUCCAUCCUUGAUGCAUCCAUUAGUGUUGAUCUUGUAAGAUCCCACUGGUGGAGUGCAGUAAACAACCAUAAUAUGCGAUAGUAAAGAAUGGAGAGCCAUAGAAAUACUAAGAAGUGGUGCAAGUGUUAAGUCACUUCUCUACUGCAAGGGUUUAAGAAGUUCUCGCAUAUGAAGGAGAGAGACAAUGUGGUAUACCUUCCAAAUAAUCCAUCUAGACACACCAUGCAGAUCUCUCUAUACUUUGCAUCAUUCAUUUCGGUCCAUAAAAACCAGAAAUCAGUAGAGGAAUGAUGGUGCAAAUAUGUCCACAGCGAAUAUACUGUCUAGAAUAUCUCCAUCUCUGGAAUCUCUGUUUGAGCCCCCUCUCUUGAUCUCAUAGAUAUCUGAAAAAUGUCUCCAAAGUACUGCCAUACCUGAUCAGAAAUCCUAUUGCAAGUGAAAAUAUGGCUGAUGAUCUAAAUCUCAGAGCACCACUGACAUCGAUAGGCCAACUAACACCCAAUCCUCCUUUGAAUGACUACAACUAUUGGAAUGAGAUCCUGCUAUAAUCUCCAAUAGAAAAAUGAAAUAGAGGUAGGCAAAGUGGAGCUCCAUAAUAAUCACGAGUCCUAAACUGGUGAAUCAAACGGAUUAGCUGCCAUGCUGAAUUAAUAGCAAAGCUACCAUCCAAAGUAGUCCUCCAAACAAUAUGGUCUAGGACAUUUACACAUACAGGUAUUCCCCCAAUCUGCUUCGCCAUGUAAGGAGAAAGAGCCUAUAAUAGUAAUUAUCCAAAAUCCCACCCAGUGUCAUAAAAAAAAUCCUGCACCCUCACAAAUAUGUGUUUCCUGUUUGGGAAUAGAGAUGCCAUAUAAUAUUACCUAUCCAGCAAUCGUGCCAAGAGAACAUCUGUCCUGCGCUAAGGUACCAUGCAAUGUAUGGCUUAGGAUGUGGCGCAACACUUUUCAACCUCUUCCAGGUAGGAGAUGCUGAGUAGGGAACUACUGCAAGUGAUGGAUGAGUCCCCAUACAAUAUUUUCCCAUUAAGAACUGAGCCCAAAGAGAAUUAUCAGAUCGAAACAACUACCAAAGCUUCAUAGAAAAAGUAUCCACAAUAUCCUGUAGUCUCUUGAAUCCUAGUCCACCUUCGUUUGUUGGAAAGCAAAUCUCCUUACAUGCCUAAUCCUUGGAAUCCCAUAGAAACCGUGCAAAGAUGUUAUCCAACUUUUAUAGUGCAACCUCGGGAGGCCACAUAAUUUAAAAAAGAUAGAGUAAUUUGGCCCCUAUGUGAUAGUAAAUGAGAGGUCUAGCCUGAUAUCCUGCUCCUGACCUUCAUGAUAAGGUCAUCAUAUAAGAAACUCUUUUUAGUCCCCUUAAAUAAGGGGACUACAAUACAAGUAAACAACUACUACUGAUGAAUGAACCCAUUCAAGAAUACAAGUCUCUUUAUCUGAAUAUCUCGUACCAGUUUAGGUAGUAUAAGACCACUUUUGUCUAUAUUCACUAGCUGGCCAGAAACCCUCUCGUAAUGCUCCAAAUAGUCGAAGACCCUCCUAAUAGACUAUUUCUGGCCAUUCGAGAAUAUGGUCGUGUUGUCAGCAAAAGAAAGGUGUGAGAUAUUAGUGCUACCUCCACGCUAAUAUCGCAUAGUGGAAUAGGCUUGAAACCUCUAAGUUGAAAGGUGAGAGAAAUAGUCUGCAGUAAUAAUGAAUAGGGAAUGUGAGAUGGGAUCACCCUGUCUGAGCCCAGGUGAGGAUGGGAAGAAACCACAUGGAUGGCAUUUAGAAGCAUUGAGAACUGACACUCGAAAAUGCACCAUUUGAUCAUAUCAAUCCUCAAUUGAUCAAAUCCAAAUACCUCCAGUAUAGAAUAAAUUACUCCCUAAUCCAUACGAUUGUAAGUCUUAGCCAUGUCAAGCUUCAGCAUAGUAUUUCCCAUCGUACUUUAUUAUCCAGAGUGUGGAGAAGCUCCUAAGUCAAUAACACAUUAUCACCUUGAAGGUGACCAAGGAUAAAAUCACCCUGAUGCGGAGAGAUAGUACAGGGCAGUGAUGAGCUCAAUUUGGUGUUCAACAGCUUAGUGGUCUAACAAAGGCUGAUAGGUCUGAAUUCUAUCUAUCGACAAGCAUUCUCCCUUUUCGAGAGUGAAACAAUAGAGGUAGCGACGAAACCACGAGACAGAUGUCCACCCUCAAAAAAACCAACGAAUGCAUUGUAAUGAUCCUCCUGUAUGAUAUCCCAACAAUGCUAAAAGAAUAAUGAUGAAAAUCUAUCUAGGUCUGUGACAUUAUCAUAAGACCGCUUCCCAAACCUCAUGAAUCAAAAGGAGACAACUAAGUGCUAUAUUAUCCCCCUCCAUCAGUAGCAGCCUGGGUAUGAUGUCUGGAUGGAUGGGAUCCAGGGGCUAUAAUGAAGCAGAUAAUAAGUCAUGAAAAAUGAUGUAGCCGAUCUUUGAAUGUCAUCAGUAGAAGAUAAGACUUUUCCUGCUUGAGUCCUGUAGGAGAUUUGAUCCGAUGUCCCUGAACCAUCACAUAAAAAUACAAGGUAUUGUGAUCUCCUCCACACACCCAACAUAAACUGGUCUUCUACUUCCAGGAGCCCUCCUAAAUAGAAAAAGUCCACUUCAGAUCAGCCUGUACCUGAUGUAAUAAAUCACAAUGCUUUGGUGUAGGGUCACACUCAAAAUCAAUCUCUGAUUGGUUGACCCUCUCCUCAGAUUCCCUCACCUAUUGGAAAAUAUAACCAAAUAUCCAUUGAUUCCACUAAAGUAGACCCUGUGUCAACUUGAAAAACUUCUUCCAGAGAGCGGACAUCUUUACAAAAUGAGUCGAAAGUGACCACUUCUGAGAGACAAUGUCUGAGAAAUCAUAGUGCUUUGUCGAUGCACUGAGGAAUCAUAAAGGCCUGGCUCCUAGAUCCUCAUCAGAUGUCCACGGUAGAAACAAAGGAGAAUGAUCAGAUGAAGUCCAAUUCAAAGGCCUCAUUGUAGGUUGUCGAUAAAAAGUUGCAGUUAAUCAAAACUUAUCUAGUCUUUUCAUGACCCAACCAUUGGUCUAAGUAUAUCAAUUCCCAUAGAAACCAGCAUUCUCCAACCUACAAUCCAGCAUCAUAUUAGAAAAAGCAACAGAACCUCGAUCACGAGUGUUGUGACUAGUGCGUUCACCAUGAUGUGCAAUAACAUUAAAGUCUCUCCCAACUAGCUAACGAUCUUACAUGGAGAAGGAAAUGUAAAGUCUUGCCUACACAUCCCUCCUGGUAGCAGCAUCAUAUGAGACAUAGGCAGGGAUCAAAUAGAUGGGACGCGCUAGUCUGGGAUCUUCAAAUCUAACGUGAAAGAACUAGGGAUGAUCAUGAAUAACAGUAACAAUAGUCUCCAUAUUCCAAAAAAAAUAGAUUUUGUUCGACUCAUUCUGUACUCCAGUAUCAAAGCAUAGAUAUUGUUGAAUAAAUGCAAGUCUGUGUUAAAGAAUAAAAGGGACCAGAAUAACCAAGAGAUAAACCUGAUAAAGCCGAAUCAAUUUCUUCAGGUGCCUGCGAGUAGAUAAACUAACUAUACUUAUCAUAUUCCAUAUGAUGGCACUCAUAGGGAUAGGAAAUAUGAGCAGAUACCAUGUAACUGACUCCUAGUGAUCCUCUUGCUUGAAUGUAGAGUGUUAGUAACCCGUGGAUAUUUCUUCCGUGUAACUCAGACAAAACAAUCAUCCCCAGUCCGCCCUGCCAUACCAACCAAAUCCUCAACAGAAGAUCUACAAGAUAUUUAUUGUUGUUAUACAUCAAUCUGUAAUAUAUUCUCUGCAUCUGACUACUCAAAAUAUAGAGAAGGAAUAGAUGACUCUAUGUUCUGCUAACAAAAAGGGAGAGCAGUAGUGGUAAUAGUUUCCUAUGUCUGAACCAAAGAUAGAUCGAUGAUCUAUGCAGCUCUAAUAUCCUCAUAAUCUAAGUCGUGUGGUAUCAAUGAUUCUCAGGCUAUAAAAUUCACAAGAUGAUCAAAAUAUAAAGUAGAGAUGGUCCUAAUAACCUGGGAAAAUCCAUAGUGGUAGCAACUAUAGUAGAAGUAGAUGGCAAUGCAGAGCUAAUUAGAGGAGCAACUGAACUGAGAGCUGGCUGAAUUGCAUGGCUCGUGAGAUGUACUAAUGGAACAACUGAGUGAACAUGACUAUAUGUACCAGUCGGGACUGGUAUAUCAUCUGUAUUAACUGGUGGAGCAGGCUGUAAAGUAGACUGAUUCUAUGUGCCCAAAUUGUCACUAAAUUGCUAUCCACUCGAUUCUCUAUGGACUGGAACCCAUUGCUUAGAAAGCUUAAAAAAACCUCCUUACCCAUAGUAGGCCUAGGAAUAUGGUCUUCAACAAUAAUUGCUACUUGUGGUGGUGCUCCAAAAAAAUAGUGCUAAUCGAUAUGCCUAAAGUGUCUAAGGCAAAAACAAUAGUUUGGCUUCUUAUCAUGUAGGACAGUCUGCCAGUACCCACCACGCUUCUUCCUUCAAUCCAAAUCUUAUCAGGGAGCUUAUUCACCGAAUCAACCUUUAUACAUACCCAUGCCUCACUAGGUCGGCAUAAAUCUGAUGUUGACUCAUCAAUGCAAAGUAAAACUCCAAUUACCUUAGGUAAUGCAAAUAAAUGGCUCUUGGCCUGAAAGUAAAUGGGUAGUAGUAGAAAGGAAACCCAUACAACAACAAUAAGGGUCUCAUGUUUUGGGCUGAAAGUAGGCAUCCAUUUAAAAGCCGUGAGUAGUCAUUCUCAUGCACCAAAUGGAUUAAAAUAUGUGAUGUAUCAAUAAGACCUAUCAUAAAAUCACCAUUAAAACUAAAUUUUUGAAAAAUGUCAAGUACCUUAGCUAUGGGAGGUUUGCAGUGAGAGAAUUUAUCUACAAGUGUGAACUUGUAUGACUCAAUCGGAGUUCCUCCUCUUUCUCGAUAAAGGAGUCAGGAAGUUCCCCCAUAUGCAUGAAUGGUUCCUUAGGACCAAACUUGAGUUCUGGAAUCCUAUGAGACCUGAAGGAUAGGUGCAAAAUAUUUUCUCUAACUCCGCUCGACCUGAGAAAUAAAUGGUUUGCUUGAGAGGACAGUAGCAUAAGAUUUCUUUCCAUUGGCCUAUGAUGUAUGACCAACUGGUAACAAUUUAGCUUGAGUAGGGGGCUCAAAAAGCAGUAACUAUCCUAGGGGUACAACGCGGAAUGGUGAAAUCUGGGCCUUUGGGACUGUGUGUAGACUAACUUGAUUAAUCAGAUAAGUAAAGGCCGGGGAUUGCGAUGAUCAGCUGUUGGUCUAGUAUUCUGAUUUUCGUGUGAAGACACGUUUAAUGUCACAUUUUCAUUUAAAUUAGAUGCCAAGUUGACAAAACUAGGGAUUUUUGGAUUUGUUGAGGUCAUUGGUAGAGUAAUAGUAGCCUAAUCCUUCGCACAAAUUGCUGAAAUGGCAGGCUCAUUUAUCAUGAAAUUUGGCAUGAGUCCCAAUGCAACAAUACCAACCAAAUUAGGCUCAAUGGAUAUCAACCUAGGGGUUUCAGGCUUCCGGAUUCAAUAACAAUGGUUUCGUGCUUGGAAUCCGACCAGAAAUAACAUAAUUUAUUAGGGCAGUUUGUAGAAGGUCAAAGGAGGUUGACCUUGUAAUAGGAGGAAUUCAUGGAGUAAUUGGAGCCUGACCUAGUGUUGAUUAUUCUUGACUUGAAUUUCCUAUGGUGUAAUUUGUGGAGCGGAAUAGGUUUGGACCUUCAGUUGGUUGAAAAUCUGAGUUCGCGCUCGACCGCAUAGAUCUUGAGCUCAAUCCAAAUAUCGAUUCGUUUGGUUGAUAAAUUGCUGCAAUUGAUGAAGGACCCAUGUUCAACAUUAAUUGAAGAUUUUAUUGAACAUUAAUUGAAGAUUUUAUGCUUGAAUUGAUGAAUUGAAGCCCUGUAGAAUGAUCAAUUGAAAGGGGAUCGAUCAGUGCUUCUUUGGCAUGAAUUAUUGAGCGUGAUUAUACUAUUUUUGGACAAAAUUGAUGAUGACCCAUGGUUACAUUAGAUGCAUCAUGAAGAGGUGGUGCUAGUACAAGUGAUCCACAAUCGUGGGUCAUCGCGCUGAGCCAAAAAAUAGGUUUGAAGCAGCCAAACUCGCUGUAAAGGAAAAUGGCUGUAGGUCUUGAUUUUGAGUUUCAUUUGAUGUUAUUAACACAUUUAUACGAGCGCAAUGAGGAUCCAGAUCGGCCUGGAGGGU